CACUAUUCAUGGGGUGUGAAAGGGGAGUGUUUCGCAUCACACAGGAGUGACAUGCGGUGGGGUGAGAUUUGCUCGCUGCAGCGCAGUGACAUUUUCUCACCCCUGACUUGCAGUGCAUUGCAUCACAGGACCCUCAUGUGAGACGUCGAAUUUGAGCGAGAUGAUGCCCAGUUUGGAACCAGGCUCGCGGGACUGCUUUCAUGACGUCGAGGUUGAAACCUGAAACGUCCCUUUGUGGUGCCGGCUACUGGGAUGAGGGUCCAGUCCAGUGCAACGCCUGCAAACAUACCUACACAACAAAGGGUUCUUUGAAUCGGUACACGUGGAAGCGCUACAAGGCCGUCAAAGAGUUCGUGAGGGUGCGGUGGUGUAAGUCUUCUCACCAUGCAGCACGGCAUCCUCUUCCUCAGCCGUCGUCAUCCAGUCGCACCUCCGCGCGGCGUCUUCGCCAGAGAGGUGGCCAGCGCCCUCAGGGAAAUGCGGCGCGUCGAGCAUUUCCUACUGUCAACAUUUGAAAUUUUAUGUUUGAAUAAAAGGAUUGUCAAAUACGACCCUUUUUGAUUUAAUAAAUCAAGUAAAUAUAAAUUCAUACGAGUGGACUUUGCAGGCAAUUAUUUACUUUUAGCUGCGAUAAAUUUAUGAUAAUUUAAGGAAAGAAAUAAAAACCUCAAUUAUG